UACGGGAGGCAGCAGUGGGGAAUAUUGCACAAUGGGCGCAAGCCUGAUGCAGCCAUGCCGCGUGUAUGAAGAAGGCCUUCGGGUUGUAAAGUACUUUCAGUCGUGAGGAAGGUGUUAAGGUUAAUAACCUUAGCAAUUGACGUUAGCGACAGAAGAAGCACCGGCUAACUCCGUGCCAGCAGCCGCGGUAAUACGGAGGGUGCAAGCGUUAAUCGGAAUUACUGGGCGUAAAGGGCACGCAGGCGGUUAAUUAAGUUGGAUGUGAAAUCCCCGGGCUUAACCUGGGAAUGGCAUUCAAGACUGGUUAGCUAGAGUCUUGUAGAGGGGGUAGAAUUCCAUGUGUAGCGGUGAAAUGCGUAGAGAUGUGGAGGAAUACCGGUGGCGAAGGCGGCCCCUGGGACAAAGACUGACGCUCAUGUGCGAAAGCGUGGGGAGCGAAACAGGGAUUAGAUACC
rnacentral:rRNA from 1 species